GGGGCGCCUGUGGGAGUCGUGGAGGGAACUUUCCCAGGCCCCGAGGCGGAUCGGGUAUUGAGUCCAUGGAGCGAGCUGAGAGCUAGAGAACCUGCUAAGGCCAUCAAACCUAUCGAUCGGAAGUCAGUCCAUCAGAUUUGCUCUGGGCCGGUGGUACUGAGUCUAAGCACUGCGGUGAAGGAGUUAGUAGAAAACAGUCUGGAUGCUGGUGCCACCAAUAUUGAUCUAAAGCUUAAGGACUAUGGAGUGGAUCUCAUUGAAGUUUCAGACAAUGGAUGUGGGGUAGAAGAAGAAAACUUUGAAGGCUUAAUCUCUUUCAGCUCUGAAACAUCACACAUGUAAGAUUCAAGAGUUUGCCAACCUAACUGAGGUUGAAACUUUCGGCUUUCAGGGGGAAGCUCUGAGCUCACUGUGUGCACUGAGCGAUGUCACCAUUUCUACCUGCCACGCAUCGGCGAAGGUUGGGACUCGACUGGUGUUUGAUCACGAUGGGAAAAUCAUCCAGAAAACCCCCUACCCCCACCCCAGAGGGACCACAGUCAGCGUGAAGCAGUUAUUUUCUACACUACCUGUGCACCAUAAGGAAUUUCAAAGGAAUAUUAAGAAGACGUGCCUGUUUCCCCUUCGCCUUCUGCCGUGAUUGUCAGUUUCCUGAGGCCUCCCCAGCCAUGCUUCCUGUACAGCCUGCAGAACUGUGAGUCAAUUAAACCUCUUUUCUUCAUAAAUUA
ensembl:lncRNA PMS2P4 PMS1 homolog 2, mismatch repair system component pseudogene 4